rnacentral:snoRNA from 1 species
AAACCAUGCAUUUUCUGAUUAGUUCCUUGAGACAUUCCCAUUCUUCAUAUAAUGUUUCAUCUUUCGACUGCUUAAACGAUGUAAUGGCGUUCCUAAGUUU